CUGCUCAGCUUGCCUCCUGCUCCUUAGACUAACUUCUGUGCGCGCUACUGGCUGGUGAAGCUUGGAGGGGGCGUGAGCUGCAAGUCUCCGUGCCUGUGGUCAGUAAUGAAGACUUCUCUUUUUAUACACAGAUUACUGAGGAACUGCACAGGGCUAGACUGUAGCUCUUAAUUCCCCGACUUUUUUUCAUUUUAAACCUUCUCCGAGGAGAAUGCAGCCUCUCCACCAGCGGCUUUAUGAUGAGAUCACACGAUGCCCCCCGCAUUCAAUCAAGGAUGUGGCCCCCUCGGUGGCCUUGAGUUAGAAACGUUUGUAAAUGCUGCUUUUAGGCUCAGAAGAAAGGAGGAGGAAUGUCUUUGAGCUCUCAGGCAUCCCCCCUUCAGGGUUGUGGGUGUCCAGCUCAUAAUGCCCCUUGAUGCCAUGGACACCGCUGAGAUGAACCUGAAGUCAAGUCUGGGGCGAUCGUUGCAGCCGGCCUUGCACCCCGUUGCAGCUGGGUGUGUUUGGGCAGGACAUACAGGGCAAGGGCAGAGGCAACAUCCAUGCAAACCCAGGGGAUCCCGCAUUGUCCUGUCCUGUCCAAGUCUCUUGGGCUUUUUGAAUGUCUGCACCUAACCUCCGAGUGCAUCAGUUCGGGACCGGGACCCCACCGUGCUAAGAGCGGAGCAAAAUCACAGUCUCUUCUCGUGAGAACUAGCUGCCCAGGCAGGCGACAAGAGGAAAGAGCUGUUCGCAGUCCCACAACGAUGCUGCUGUCCAUCCCACCCUUCUGCUGAGCCAUAGAAGUGAUUGAAAGAGCUGCCGUCUUUGGGGCUGGGGGGCUAGAUGUAACAUUCAGACCGUUUUUAAAGCACGUUUCACAUUAGGGACAAGCUGCCAGAAGGGAGAGCA
ensembl:lncRNA